CCUACGGGAGGCAGCAGUGAGGAAUAUUGGUCAAUGGACGAGAGUCUGAACCAGCCAAGUCGCGUGAAGGAUGACUGCCCUAUGGGUUGUAAACUUCUUUUAUAUGGGAAUAAAAUGUUCCACGUGUGGGAUUUUGUAUGUACCAUAUGAAUAAGGAUCGGCUAACUCCGUUCCAUCAGCCGCGGUAAUACGGAGGAUCCGAGCGUUAUCCGGAUUUAUUGGGUUUAAAGGGAGCGUAGGUGGAUUGUUAAGUCAGUUGUGAAAGUUUGCGGCUCAACCGUAAAAUUGCAGUUGAUACUGGCAGUCUUGAGUACAGUAGAGGUGGGCGGAAUUCGUGGUGUAGCGGUGAAAUGCGUAGAUAUCACGAAGAACUCCGAUUGCGAAGGCAGCUCACUGGACUGCAACUGACACUGAGGCUCGAAAGUGUGGGUAUCAAACAGGAUUAGAUACCCUUGUAGUC
rnacentral:rRNA from 1 species